rnacentral:sRNA from 1 species
AAUUUUCUGAGCUUCUCUCUCUAAAAAUUUCGAGCCCUAACUCUCUCUGCCUUCUCUCUAAAUUUCCAGCUCUUUGAACCUUUCAAUCUUGAGUUGGAGGGUGCUCAGACGUCCGAAGGCUUCCUUUUGAGCCGAUCGCAUUUUCGAUUGAACCGGAUAAAGGGGACUUAAAAACCUGAGUUGGCACAUUCCUGAUCAUAGACUGGCCUGGUCCAUUAUGUUGUGACUAGUCAUAUGUGCUAGCGCCGAAGAUGGGGUUGAGGAAAUACCUCUGGAGCAAGAGUUGGAGGAGAAUGAUGCUGCUGCACAGUCUGCGUAGGAUUUAGAUAUCUAAACUCUUGGAUGUUAAAUAGUCAGAACUGUCUGAGUUUAAAACUCUAUAUUAUAUUUUGGAUGACUGUAAUUUCGUACUUAAUUGCAAGUCAUACUCUAACUGUUCUCUUUAUUUGGAUGUUGGAUGUUGACG